UAGGGAAUAUUGGACAAUGGGCGAAAGCCUGAUCCAGCCACGCCGCGUGAGUGAUGAAGGCCUUCGGGUCGUAAAGCUCUGUGGGGAGGGACGAAAAAGGUGAGUUCGAAUAGGGCUCGCCCUCGACGGUACCUCCUUAGCAAGCACCGGCUAACUCUGUGCCAGCAGCCGCGGUAAGACAGAGGGUGCAAACGUUGCUCGGAAUUACUGGGCGUAAAGCGCGUGUAGGCGGAUUUGCAAGUCGGGUGUGAAAUCCCUGGGCUCAACCCAGGAACUGCAUCCGAAACUGCGAAUCUUGAGUAUUGGAGAGGGAAGCGGAAUUCCUGGUGUAGAGGUGAAAUUCGUAGAUAUCAGGAGGAACACCGGUGGCGAAGGCGGCUUCCUGGACAAUCACUGACGCUGAGACGCGAAAGCGUGGGGAGCAAACAGGAUUAGAUACCCCCGUAGUCC
rnacentral:rRNA from 1 species